GUAACAAGGUCUCCGUUGGUGAACCAGCGGAGGGAUCAUUACCGAGUUAUACAACUCCCAAACCCACUGUGAACCUUACCUCAGUUGCCUCGGCGGGAACGCCCCGGCCGCCUGCCCCCGCGCCGGCGCCGGACCCAGGCGCCCGCCGCAGGGACCCCAAACUCUCUUGCAUUACGCCCAGCGGGCGGAAUUUCUUCUCUGAGUUGCACAAGCAAAAACAAAUGAAUCAAAACUUUCAACAACGGAUCUCUUGGUUCUGGCAUCGAUGAAGAACGCAGCGAAAUGCGAUAAGUAAUGUGAAUUGCAGAAUUCAGUGAAUCAUCGAAUCUUUGAACGCACAUUGCGCCCGCCAGCAUUCUGGCGGGCAUGCCUGUUCGAGCGUCAUUUCAACCCUCGAGCCCCCCCGGGGGCCUCGGUGUUGGGGGACGGCACACCAGCCGCCCCCGAAAUGCAGUGGCGACCCCGCCGCAGCCUCCCCUGCGUAGUAGCACACACCUCGCACCGGAGCGCGGAGGCGGUCACGCCGUAAAACGCCCAACUUUCUUAGAGUUGACCUCGGAUCAGGUAGGAAUACCCGCUGAACUUAAGCAUAUCA
rnacentral:misc_RNA from 1 species